UUUGUGUGUGCAUGUUUGUUGAAAUGGCGGGAAAAAACUUGAGAGACUCAUGUAAACAUGAGUCUUCUUGCAACCCAGGACUCACUGUUCAGCAUGAGUUUUGAUAUCUGUAAGAAGGAAUAUG